rnacentral:rRNA from 1 species
UGGCUCAGGACGAACGCUGGCGGCGCGCCUAACACAUGCAAGUCGAACGAGCGAGAGAGAGCUUGCUUUCUCGAGCGAGUGGCGAACGGGUGAGUAACGCGUGAGGAACCUGCCUCAAAGAGGGGGACAACAGUUGGAAACGACUGCUAAUACCGCAUAAGCCCACGGGUCGGCAUCGAACAGAGGGAAAAGGAGCAAUCCGCCUUGAGAUGGCCUCGCGUCCGAUUAGCUAGUUGGUGAGGUAACGGCCCACCAAGGCGACGAUCGGUAGCCGGACUGAGAGGUUGAACGGCCACAUUGGGACUGAGACACGGCCCAGACUCCUACGGGAGGCAGCAGUGGGGAAUAUUGCACAAUGGGGGAAACCCUGAUGCAGCGACGCCGCGUGGAGGAAGAAGGUCUUCGGAUUGUAAACUCCUGUUGUUGAGGAAGAUAAUGACGGUACUCAACAAGGAAGUGACGGCUAACUACGUGCCAGCAGCCGCGGUAAAACGUAGGUCACAAGCGUUGUCCGGAAUUACUGGGUGUAAAGGGAGCGCAGGCGGGAAGACAAGUUGGAAGUGAAAUCCAUGGGCUCAACCCAUGAACUGCUUUCAAAACUGUUUUUCUUGAGUAGUGCAGAGGUAGGCGGAAUUCCCGGUGUAGCGGUGGAAUGCGUAGAUAUCGGGAGGAACACCAGUGGCGAAGGCGGCCUACUGGGCACCAACUGACGCUGAGGCUCGAAAGUGUGGGUAGCAAACAGGAUUAGAUACCCUUGUAGUCCACACCGUAAACGAUGAUUACUAGGUGUUGGAGGAUUGACCCCUUCAGUGCCGCAGUUAACACAAUAAGUAAUCCACCUGGGGAGUACGACCGCAAGGUUGAAACUCAAAGGAAUUGACGGGGGCCCGCACAAGCAGUGGAGUAUGUGGUUUAAUUCGACGCAACGCGAAGAACCUUACCAAGUCUUGACAUCCCUUGACGAUGCUGGAAACAGUAUUUCUCUUCGGAGCAAGGAGACAGGUGGUGCAUGGUUGUCGUCAGCUCGUGUCGCGAGAUGUUGGGUUAAGUCCCGCAACGAGCGCAACCCUUAUGGUCAGUUACUACGCAAGAGGACUCUGGCCAGACUGCCGUUGACAAAACGGAGGAAGGUGGGGAUGACGUCAAAUCAUCAUGCCCUUUAUGACUUGGGCUACACACGUACUACAAUGGCGUUAAACAAAGAGAAGCAAGACCGCGAGGUGGAGCAAAACUCAGAAACAACGUCCCAGUUCGGACUGCAGGCUGCAACUCGCCUGCACGAAGUCGGAAUUGCUAGUAAUCGUGGAUCAGCAUGCCACGGUGAAUACGUUCCCGGGCCUUGUACACACCGCCCGUCACACC